CCCGCUCCACCCCGGUCGCGUUGAUCCGUGGCGGCAGCCCAGCCACUCCGGCCUGGCUCCGUUGACCUGGCGCGGUGUCCCUGCUCCACCCGGCCGCAUCGACCCGUGGCGUCGGCGGCCCGCUCGCUCCGCCCCGGUCGCGUCGUCGUCCUGCGGCGCCGGGUCGAUUGCGCCGACCUGCGGCGGCGGCCUGGCUUCACCACGGCGGAGGCCAAUCUCCACCCCAGCCGCCGCUCCUCUACGGCGACGGCUUGGAUGCCCGACCGCCCGCGACGGCUUGCUGCUCAAUAGAGGCGCAGAGGGCAGGCUUGAGCGGCGAAGCAUGUGGCAGCAGGGUGGUCCUUUAUCGGCAGCAGUGCCGUGAGCUCGCCGCCAAGAGAUAGCUCGACGCCUCGACCUCUGCCCCACCAUGGCAUCCCCCUUUGUCUCCCUCAGUCCGCUCUCCCCUCCCUCCCCCUCUCUCAGAUUCUAUUGGCGACCGCUGACCGCGUCAUGCUCCCCGCCCUUCCACCUCCACUGCGCCCCCUCACCGUUCUCCUCUCGGGGACGCGCCGCCGGCUGAGGAGCUCGCAGUGGUCGCGCUCUCUGUGUGCUCAGCGGUGACAGGAUCGCGGCCCUAGAGGACGCCCGUGGCUCAAGCUUGGCGUUUGACCGCGCUGCCCCAAGGAGUAGGACUGGCGUUGACCACCUGAGCAGCUCCCUUGUUUCGGCAAGGAUCCAUGUCCAUGGGAUGCAAGACUAUGAGUUUCUUGCUUAUUCGAUCCUCGCGGGAUGGCCAUCUUCACCAUUCUGCGCAGCCUCCUCAGCCACCAAGUCUGUGCACAUCAGCUUACAUUUUUGGAAGAGGUAAUAACUAGGUAAUGCGCAAACAGAAAAUUCUAUUUGCCUUGCUGCUUCCAGUUUUCGCAUUAUGGAUUCCAUUUAACUCGUAGUCGAAGCCUUUUUUUUAUUCAGAAGAAAGUCAAUUCAGGUAUAUAUGUUUCUUGACUUUACUAAAAGUGUGCACUUGAGAACAAGAUUUGCACAACCAUCUCAAUCUGUGUAGUUCAUCACUCCUAUGCAUACUGACAUCUUGCUUCAUUCAUGUUUGUCAUGAAAGCAUGUUCAAGAAGUGCAUCCUCCCAAUUUCCCACAUGAAAUGUAACAGGCGUAACACAGACGUCAAUUCUUCUUGAAGGUAAAGUUAGUUUACCCCUAGGCGCGCGCCAUUCAUUGUUGUUUCACUUUCUGCAUUACAAUUAUGAGGCGGUGAGAAUUUGAUGGUUGACAUUCAUGCCAUAAUCUUUGUUGAGUGGCAGUGUGAUGCUCUUCUCUGUAGCAGUUCUCCAUGUACCAGUUGCAAGCGGGGACAUAAUUUCCCUGUAAAUGUGCUACCUUAUGUCCUGCACCCUUCUAUUGAUUUGGAAAUGAGGUCCUCUUUCAAGCUGUACUUUUGCUUGAGGAUUUUAUAAUCUGUUCAGUUUGUUGUUGAAAAGUAUAUGAUUUCCAUACUCUUGAUUUUAUGGGAAUUUUAUUUGUGUCACAGUAACAUGGACUGGAUAUGAAAAAAAACUACCAAUUGAUAUCUUUUUAGCUUGUUUUAUUUCAAGCAGUUCUGGCUAAAGACAUACUUCUUGUAUGAAAAAAAUCAGUUUCUUGUUGUAUGUUUGCAGCAAAACAAGUUUUGGGGUAAAUGAGAUAUGCCAUGCAAGAGACAAGACACUUAUAAGUAACACAGAAAUUAUGUUCAUUAUAAAUGAAAUGUCCAAGAUAUGUCCAAAUGUUUUAUAUUAUGGUCAAGAAGUUUUUUGUUUGUUUUGGUUACAUGUCUGCGGCGGCGAUUGAUCUGGAAUGUCUAUUUUAUUCAGAAUACAUGAUAUGUUUCACCCUUCUUUUGAUUCACAAGUAUGCAGGUCGAAUUAUUCAGUUGCUUGAUUUCAUAACAAUUCGCGUUGGGUCUCGUCAUAGCCUUAUUUUUGUUCAUGCUCGAGGCCAUGCAUGUCAAUCAGGAUCGCCUGUGUGCUCAGGCUCCUCUAGGCCGGCCAGCAUCAAUGUGAGUAAAGCUUGAAACUCCUUGUCCUGUAAUCCCACUGCUCACAAAAGUGACUAACUAAAUCAUGGAGCUGUUUGAUACAUUCAUCAGAUCUUGAUGUUCAAUCUGGUGCACACAGUCAAAUUUGGCCAUGGUGACUGCUUGUAGGCCAUCCUCUUGGUGGCCCACAGCACGCUGGUGGUCAACUCAUGGUGAGAUCUUUGCCUUAUGUCUAUUUGUAUAUGUUUACGUGCCACUCACAUGAUGUUAUCCAAGCUUGAUUGAGUUUUGGGUCUGAGCACCAAUUCUAUCUGAUUGGUUCUAUUAUCAAAGUAGCACGGCAAAUUGGUUUUGAUUUAGAAGUAGUGCAUCUGUUCAUCUGUUGGCAUCUACAAUUCUCACGUCAGAAAUCACACUGAUAUGAGGCAAGUUUUCUGAUUUAUUUGUAGAUUUAUAGCUUCUCGACCGCUUUAUUUCUCACUUCGAAUCUAAUGGAAUAUAGCUUUCUUAUUAGUAGUAUUAUGCAUUUAAUUUCUGAAUAUUUUUUCUAGAUGACAGCUUGAUAACAAGGUGAAAUACAUUUAUUUUUAUUCAUGGAGCAAGAUGAGAAUAUUAAUGUUCUUACAGUUAGGUUUAUUUGUUUCCAUUCAAUUUGAGAGGUGUCUCAUUUCUGCUCUUCAUGCCUUCUUUUGUGUUCUAAAACUUCUAUGUCAGGAUAUGUUUCAUUCAGUUCUCCAUGUUUCAUGUUCACCGGCGGGGCCUUUCAGCUUGCACGGGUGGUGGCGCCAGUUACGGCGACUGGUAGCGGCGGCGAGCUUCCCCUUGAGGCUGCCCACCUCCGCCUGCUUGCACUGGAGCUAGCACUAGAGGUCGUCGAGCGCGGCCUCAUACGACGUGAUGGCCUCGCGGAGCGGCGGCGCGGAGGGGUUGGAAUAAUAUUCACUUCAGUCAACACAUGAUGUAAACUGCAAUAAAACCUUUUGUCAGAUGGUCUCGUAGCAUGUAACCACCACAUGUGCGAUGAAAUUAAUAUAAUAAUUUUUAUUGUUUGUUUUGCAUACCA